rnacentral:lncRNA from 1 species
UAUUUAAGUCAGAAUGUAUAUAAUGAAAUUAGGAUGUUGCUUGGGUCUAGAAUUCUGCAAUUCUGCUUUAGUGCUCUGAUGCAGAGUAUAGAUUUAUGACAGCUGAGACCAAAAUGGCAGCUAUUGAGUCCUGCCAGGAGAUAAGAACUCUGGUGCAACAUUAGAAUGAAGCCCAGCUCCUCCUCACAGGCACCUCCACAGGCUGGUAAUGAGAGACUGUAUGGCAUUGAUGCUACACUUACCUUCAUAUAUGUGAGUAGGAGAGCCUACUACGUGCUAGGAACACUACCAUGUGUUUUCAGGAUGGUGACUGAGAGCAUGAGUUCAGGCAUGGGCUAAAUU